CUAGCGACUUCAGAGUUUGAUCCUGGCUCAGGAUGAACGCUGGCGGCGUGCCUAACACAUUCAAGUCGAACGGAGUUGAUUGAAAAGCUUGCUUUUUGGUUAACUUAGUGGCGGACGGGUGAGUAACGCGUGAGCAACCUGCCUUUGUAUGGGGGAUAACACAGGGAAACUUGUGCUAAUACCGCAUAACAUAUACUUAUCGCAUGGUAGGUAUAUCAAAGAUUUAUUGUACAAAGAUGGGCUCGCGUCUGAUUAGAUAGUUGGUGAGGUAACGGCUCACCAAGUCGACGAUCAGUAGCCGGACUGAGAGGUUGAACGGCCACAUUGGAACUGAGAUACGGUCCAG
rnacentral:rRNA from 1 species